rnacentral:rRNA from 1 species
GAUGAACGCUGGCGGCGUGCUUAACACAUGCAAGUCGAACGAAGCACUUUAACCUGAUUCUUCGGAUGAAGGUUUUUGUGACUGAGUGGCGGACGGGUGAGUAACGCGUGGGUAACCUGCCUCAUACAGGGGGAUAACAGUUAGAAAUGACUGCUAAUACCGCAUAAGACCACAGAGCCGCAUGGCUCGGUGGGAAAAACUCCGGUGGUAUGAGAUGGACCCGCGUCUGAUUAGGUAGUUGGUGGGGUAACGGCCUACCAAGCCAACGAUCAGUAGCCGACAUGAGAGGGUGACCCGGCACAUUGGGACUUGGAAACGGCCCAAACUACUACGGGAGGCAGGAGUGGGGAAUAUUGCACAAUGGGGGGAACCCUGAUGCAGCGACGCCGGGUGAGCGAAGAAGUAAUUUGGUAUGUAAAGCCCUAUCAGCAGGGAAGAAAAUGACGGUACCUGAAGAAGAAGCACCGGCUAAAUACGUG